rnacentral:rRNA from 1 species
CCUAAGGUAGCGAAAUUCCUUGUCGGGUAAGUUCCGACCUGCACGAAUGGCGUAAUGAUGGCCAGGCUGUCUCCACCCGAGACUCAGUGAAAUUGAACUCGCUGUGAAGAUGCAGUGUACCCGCGGCAAGACGGAAAGACCCCGUGAACCUUUACUACAGCUUGACACUGAACAUUGAGCCUUGAUGUGUAGGAUAGGUGGGAGGCUUUGAAGCG